rnacentral:rRNA from 1 species
UACGUAGGGUGCGAGCGUUAAUCGGAAUCACUGGGCGUAAAGCGUGCGCAGGCGGUGAUGUAAGACAGUUGUGAAAUCCCCGGGCUCAACCUGGGAACUGCAUCUGUGACUGCAUUGCUGGAGUGCGGCAGAGGGGGAUGGAAUUCCGCGUGUAGCAGUGAAAUGCGUAGAUAUGCGGAGGAACACCGAUGGCGAAGGCAAUCCCCUGGGCCUGCACUGACGCUCAUGCACGAAAGCGUGGGGAGCAAACAGG